AAGUCGUAACAAGGUUUCCGUAGGUGAACCUGCGGAAGGAUCAUUAACACGUUAUCCAACGUAUCAACCAACGAGAAUCGUUUUCACAUCUCCCGGAAGCAAAGAAUGAGUGGAAUCCGAGCAACGCAUUGAAAGGGAUAGCCUCGGCGUCAGCCUGCUCUUAUCACUUAGGCAAAUCGAAAGGUUUGCUUAGACACUGUAUUUUUGCGGAAGGCAAAUUGGUCUGCGGUGGUGCUUUCCUUUCAUUGAGAAUCACUGCAGGCUCCUAUUUUUUUUUACCUAUUUCACCCCCCUUUUUGCUAGUUGACUUUAAUACUGUUGUUCUUUUUUUCCAAACGCUUGCGUUGGGAAACGAGUUCACACGUUUAAUUAAUUGAACGUUAAAAAUACAACUCUUAGCAAUGGAUAUCUUGGUUCUC
rnacentral:misc_RNA from 1 species